GACCGAGCGCUGAAUUAUUCACCAGAACUUUUCUGCGGUAUCAAGAGCAAGGAUUCAAUAUUCUGCGAACCCGCUCUUAUAAUCCGCCCCUUUAUACUCAGUUCCAUGUGUUCCUCUUGUAUUUACCUUUCUCCGGAUCAAAACUGUAAUACCUAUUGCAGCAGUUCCUGAUGAACGAGAUGAAAAGCAAUGGCCAAGUUAAAAGAAAUCCAAUUGUUCAGUCACUAAUGCAUCAUGUUGUACGGGUAAUGUUCUCCGUGUGAAAUACGAUGUUUCAAACAGUAUUAUUAUUAAUUUGUGUUUGUUGACUUUAAACAGAUUUUUCAAGUGUUGUUUUUAUUAAACUAAUCACUUUGUAAAUAUUAGU